UACGGAGGGAGCUAGCGUUGUUCGGAAUUACUGGGCGUAAAGCGCACGUAGGCGGCUUUCUAAGUCAGGGGUGAAAUCCCGGGGCUCAACCCCGGAACUGCCCUUGAAACUGGAUGGCUAGAAUCCUGGAGAGGCGAGUGGAAUUCCGAGUGUAGAGGUGAAAUUCGUAGAUAUUCGCAAGAACACCAGUGGCGAAGGCGGCUCACUGGCCCGAUACUGACGCUGAGGCACGAAAGCGUGGGGAGCAAACAGG
rnacentral:rRNA from 1 species